rnacentral:rRNA from 1 species
UAGUUACAGUGGAGCCGUCCUUGAAAUACCACCCUGGUAAUGUUGAGGUUCUAACUCUGUCCCGUGAUCCGGGACGAGGACCGUGUCUGGUGGGUAGUUUGACUGGGGCGGUCUCCUCCUAAAGAGUAACGGAGGAGUACGAAGGUGCGCUCAGCGUGGUCGGAAAUCACGCGUAGAGUAUAAAGGCAAAAGCGCGCUUAACUGCGAGACCCACAAGUCGAGCAGGUACGAAAGUAGGUCUUAGUGAUCCGGUGGUUCUGUAUGGAAGGGCCAUCGCUCAACGGAUAAAAGGUACUCUGGGGAUAACAGGCUGAUACCGCCCAAGAGUUCAUAUCGACGGCGGUGUUUGGCACCUCGAUGUCGGCUCAUCUCAUCCUGGGGCUGAAGCAGGUCCCAAGGGUAUGGCUGUUCGCCAUUUAAAGAGGUACGCGAGCUGGGUUUAGAACGUCGUGAGACAGUUCGGUCCCUAUCUACCGUGGGCGCUGGAAAUUUGAGAGGAUCUGCUCCUAGUACGAGAGGACCAGAGUGGACGAACCUCUGGUGUACCGGUUGUGACGCCAGUCGCAUCGCCGGGUAGCUAUGUUCGGAAGGGAUAACCGCUGAAAGCAUCUAAGCGGGAAGCCUACCUCAAGAUAAGAUUUCCCUAGGACUUUAUGUCCUCUAAAGAGCCGUUCGAGACUAGGACGUUGAUAGGUUGGAUGUGGAAGCAUAGUGAUAUGUGAAGCUGACCAAUACUAAUUGCUCGUGAGGCUUGACUAUACAACACCCAAGCAGUUG